rnacentral:lncRNA from 1 species
CAACGCAGCUCUUAACAGAGGUGCUUAUAAAAAAAAACCAGGUUUUUAUUCCGGCAAGGUUCUUGGAGUAGGAAGCCGAUGCUUCACGCGGCGCCGAUGCUUCACGGGCGCUCCAAAAAAAUUGGUUAAAAGCUGAUGGCGUCGGCGCUAGAAUCAGUCAACGAACCAGAAAAAUUGGAGGAAAAAAACAAACAAGCAGCUACCAAACAAACAGAACGCACACGCAUAUCUUCAAAUAAGCCAAC